rnacentral:lncRNA from 1 species
GAAAAAGUUAUCGGGAGCAGCCACAGAGCUGGGCCCUGGACAAGGUUUGUUGGGACGACAGGUGACUCUGGGCAGAUGGAACAGCCUCAGCCAAGGCCAUUCAGAGGAUCACAAGGAGCAUGGCUGUCGCGGCACAAGAUGCUCCCGGCAGGGAUGGAGUCUCUGUCACCCAGGCAAUGGCGCGAUCUUGGCUCACUGCAAUCUCUGCCACCCGAGUUCAAGCGAUUCUCCUGCCUCAGCCUCCCAAGUAGUAGGGAUUACAGGCACCCAACACCAUGCCCAGCUAGUUUUUUUAUUUUUAGUAGAGACAGGGUUUCACCAUGUUGGUCAGGCUGGUCUCAAACUCCUGACCUCAGGUGAUCCACCCGCCUCGGCCUCCCAAAGUGCUGGGAUUACAGACAUGAGCCACCGUGCCCGGCCGCCUUCAUAAAUUUUUCUAAGGGAUUCUCACAGGGACCAGAAAGGGGGAGAUGCUAUUAAUCCUACUUUGUAAAUGUGUCCCUGCAAACAGUACAGGGACAUCAAGGAACCUAUUUGGGGCAAGAUGGCCAUCCCAAGGAACGCUACCUCAAUACGGAGAAAGAGACUCUGCUGACACGAUAGAGUUGAGGGUUUUGGCAGAGGGAGAUGAGGCUGGAUUAACUGGCUAGGCCUGAUGCCAUCACAGGGUCCUAAGUGAGAAAGGCAGGAGGCUCAGAGUCAGCAGAGGGGAUGUGGCCACGGGAGCAGAGGUCGGAGAGAUGUCCUUGCAUCUGGAAGGGGCCAAAAGCCGAGGAAUGUGGGUGCCUCUGGGAACUGGAGCAGGCAAGGAAAUGGACUCACCCCCGCAGCCUCCAGCAGGGCCCCGUGCUGCUGAUGCCUUGACAUGAGGUGUUCAUGAGUCUCCUUUCCAACUGCUGUCCUCCGGAUCUGUACAAGACUAAAUCUAUGUUGUUUUAAGCUACUGCAUUUAUGAUAGUUUAUUACAGCAGCUACGGGACACUCAUAUAAUACCCAAGAGAGAUGUGUGCAUUCAUUUCACCAGGAGACCUGGAUGCGAAGGUUCACAGCAGCUUUACUGAUGACGGUUAGAAGGUGGAAAUAACUGAAGUUUCCUCAAAAGGUGAUGGAGGAACAUGGCGUGGUACGUCCACACGAUGCAAUGGGCACAGAUCCAGGCUGAUAACUAUCACUGGGCACAGAUCCAGGCUGGGGCCAAGAUGGGAACCUUUAUCUUUUGCUUCCUGGCCAGAGUGCUCUGCCCCAGCACCUGCCUUGUCAAAGCCCUGGUGGACCCGUGGGAUCGCCCAGUUCUUGCACCUUCACUGGGAGGAAAGCAGAGACGAUGACUCCAUUUUACAGUUGGGUAAAGUGAGGCUCAGGGCCAUGCUGCCCAGGGAGGAGCUGAAGAGAGACCCGAGGCCUGCUGGGGACCAGAUCUUCUCAAUGGUGGUUCCUUUUGGUAUCCUCUCUACAAGCCCAGUGCAGAGCCUGGCACGUGGGAGAGCUUUAUGGGAGUUUGCUGAAUAAAUGGCAGAGAGCAGGUGUGGUGUGAGCUCUGGUGGCUGGACUCACCUUCCCAUCCCCUGCAGACCUGUCCUCCUGACAGGGUCCAAUGUGCAAGGGUUUGGGGCACAGUUGGAGUGUCCUGACGGAUGUAGUCACUCUCAGGGGAUGUCAGUCCACGGACACAGAUGCAGCAAGGUCCCUGGAGCCCUGCCGGCCUCCCUGCAUACCCUCUGCGCUCUGAGGAAUGCUCUCUGCCGGGAUGGGGCACCUCGGGCAUGGCAUGGGAGGCCUCUAAUGUGGCCCAAGAUGUUUAAACAGAGUCCUACAGGCCCCAGCCUGAAUUGGGCCCUUGGACGAGGUCCCCAACACACACACACCAGAGCCCCAGCAAUUCACAAGCCGUGUGACCUUGGACGACGUCCCCAACACACACACCAGAGCCCCCAACACACACACACACACCAGAGCCCCCAAAACACACACACCAGACCCCAACACACACACCAGACUGUUGACUUUUUCCUUCUGCCCUCAGUCCCCCCAUCUGUAAAAUGUGGCUGCUCACAGCCCCCUACUCUGAUUCUACAUUGAGGCCUGUAGUAUGCAGCCCUAAGACAGCCUCCAAAGAAUCCACCUGCAGCUACUCACACCCUCCUUUGGUACCCAAAGGAGAACAAAGGAUAGGGACAGAACCAAGUGGCUCACUUGUAACAAAUGGAUAGAAUAGAAGUGACAGGCAUGGGAUGUCCCUUCCAAGGUUAGGCUCCAAAAAAGUGGGUUCCACUGGGCUCUGCACCUUGAACUCUCUCUCCCAGAGCCCUCUUUUUGGGUGGUCAGCUGUCAUGCCAUGAGCUACCCUGCGGAGAGGCCCACCCAGUGAGCAACUGACACCGCCAGCCAACACGUGAACCUACUACCAGCCACCUGAGUGAGCUGGGAAGUGUAUCCUCUCCAGCAGAGCCUUGAGAAUGACCACAGUCUCAGCCAAUGCUUUGACUGCAGCCUCCUGAGAGAGCCCAAGCCAGGAGACCCAACAAAGCCACACCAUGACUUACACCUUUCUGACUCACAGAAAGGGUUAAACGCUUGUUUUAAGCUGCUGACUUGUGGGGUACCUUGUUACACAGCACCAGCUAGCUAAUACAAAGCCUCAGGGCAGUGCUAGAGAUUCUGGGAGAGGGAGGAUCUUGGAGAUUGUGCAUCUGGACAUCCCUCUACUCUACCCUCAGGGAACGAGCCUCUGACCUUGGCCUGCACACCCCAGUGAUGGGGAGCUCCCUGCUUACUGAGGCCAGCAAAUCUGCUGUGGAGCCAGGCUGCCUGGGAAGGUCUUCCCUCUGCCUCCUGCUUCCUCUUCCUACUGGUGCCAGCAUGGCUCUGGGGGUUCCCUGGCACCAGCCCCAUCCUUCAGGGAUGUGUGGGUUCCCCCAGAGUGAGCUGGCGUCUGGAUCAGGCUUCUCUGCAUCACAGUUUCAUCCCCUUUUCUGCUUUUUUCUGCUUCAGGGGAGAGUUGUUGGGAGGCAAGUGAGGGCUCGGGCCCAGCCCUGCCAUUCAGUGUGCACCUGGCAGAGAGGACCCCAGGAUGCACCAAUCUUCACUCAGCCUUAGCUCAAAGUCACCAUCUCCACCCGCCUCAGUUUACUCAUCUGCUACAUGGAGAUUUCUGUGAGGACAUGAAACACUGCAUGUAACAACACUUGGCACACAGAAAGCACUCAAGAAAUGUAUGUCUAUUGAGUCGGGAGAAAACAUAUUCAAAGCGGGGCCGCGGAGAUGCUUGAGGGAAUUUUUACUUUGUCUUUAGCAAAAUAUCUUGCUGGGCCAUCUAGAUGGAUGCAGAUGGGGAGGGGACGAGGCAGUGGGGGUGUGUGUGUGUUUCUUGGGGGGGCUCUGUCUGUUGGGGGG